rnacentral:rRNA from 1 species
UACAGAGGGGGCGAGCGUUGUUCGGAAUUACUGGGCGUAAAGGGCGCGUAGGCGGCCUUCUAAGUCGAACGUGAAAUCCCCGGGCUCAACCCGGGAACUGCGCCCGAUACUGGGAGGCUUGAAUCCGGGAGAGGGAUGUGGAAUUCCAGGUGUAGCGGUGAAAUGCGUAGAUAUCUGGAGGAACACCGGUGGCGAAGGCGGCAUCCUGGACCGGUAUUGACGCUGAGGCGCGAAAGCCAGGGGAGUAAACGGG